AUGAGUAGCACAGUCGGCCCGAUCAUGAGUUGGAACGUCAGGGGCCUGAACAACCCAGCUCGGCGAUCCGUAGUGCAGGUCACGGCAAACACACACCGCCUCGCCGUUCUCUGCAACCAGGAAACCAAGCUUGAAGAGUGGACACCAGUAAUCGUCAGGGAAGUAGGAGGCCCAAGACUAGACGACCGCAUUGUUCUGCCUGCUAAUGGCACAAGAGGAGGCGCCGCCAUCUUCUGGGACUCAACAUCAGUUAGAAUUCAAUCCCACGCGACCGGGGAGUUCUCCAUCACGGCCAAGGUCACUGUACUCUCCUCAGGAGCUAGCUUUUAG
rnacentral:rRNA from 1 species